GGGUCAGUAGGUUGGUCGUGCCACCGGUACGUACUGGUCUCACUGAUUCCUCCUUCCUGAAGAACCGUAAUGCCAUUAAUUUGGUGUUGCGGGGAAACAGGACUGCUACUUUGAAAAAAUUAGAGUGUUUAGAGCAAGCUAACGCUUGAAUACAUUAGCAUGGAAUAAUGAAAUAGGACGAUCGAUCCUAUUUUGUUGGUUUCUAGGAUUGACGUA
rnacentral:rRNA from 1 species